rnacentral:rRNA from 1 species
CUAUCCUUGACAUGGCAGGAAUCCCGAAGAGAUUUGGGAGUGCUCGCAAGAGAACCUGCACACAGGUGCUGCAUGGCUGUCGUCAGCUCGUGUCGUGAGAUGUUGGGUUAAGUCCCGCAACGAGCGCAACCCUUGUCAUUAGUUGCUACGAAAGGGCACUCUAAUGAGACUGCCGGUGACAAACCGGAGGAAGGUGGGGAUGACGUCAAGUCCUCAUGGCCCUUAUGGGUAGGGCUUCACACGUCAUACAAUGGUACAUACAGAGGGCCGCCAACCCGCGAGGGGGAGCUAAUCCCAGAAAGUGUAUCGUAGUCCGGAUUGUAGUCUGCAACUCGACUACAUGAAGUUGGAAUCGCUAGUAAUCGCGGAUCAGCAUGUCGCGGUGAAUA